rnacentral:rRNA from 1 species
CCUACGGGUGGCUGCAGUCGAGAAUCAUUCACAAUGGGGGAAACCCUGAUGGUGCGACGCCGCGUGGGGGAAUGAAGGUCUUCGGAUUGUAAACCCCUGUCAUGUGGGAGCAAAUUAAAAAGAUAGUACCACAAGAGGAAGAGACGGCUAACUCUGUGCCAGCCGCCGCGGUAAUACAGAGGUCUCACGCGUUGUUCGGAAUCACUGGGCGUAAAGCGUGCGUAGGCUGUUUCGUAAGUCGUGUGUGAAAGGCGCGGGCUCAACCCGCGGAAGGCAUAUGAUACUGCGAGACUAGAGUAAGGGAGGGGGAACCGGAAUUCUCGGUGUAGCAGUGAAAUGCGUAGAUAUCGAGAGGAACACUCGUGGCGAAGGCGGGUUCCUGGACAUUAACUGACGCUGAGGCACGAAGGCCAGGGGAGCGAAAGGGAUUAGAUACCCGUGUAGUC